UAUCUCGUAACACCGCCCAAGUCGCAAACCGGUACCGACAAACAAAUAACGCCUGUUCCAUGCGAGGGAGAAUUGGAAAGCGACUGCGAUAUCUUCCCUGUACGCUCGAUCCGAUCGAUUGCUAGCGUUCAGAGAUUUGAAGACCUUCUGAUUUUGAUGUCUACCCUGAAUUCGCUCUUCCAUAGAGCCUCCUUCGGCAGGGGAUGAUGUUCUGGCUAAGGCUAUCAACCUAGCGAAUCGGUGCUAGCACAACAAGACUAACUGAUGAGAACUUUUUGACUGAUGGUGAACUUGUGGCUGGACUGCUGAUAAGGAUCUUUUGGGGGAAAGCAAGAGUAGUUGUUUCUUAGUAAAUUUAUGUAGAACUUACUGAAGCCUGAAUCCUAUUUAAAAGCAACUAAAUUACUAGCAUAAUUGGACCUUUGGUAGAUUUCUAUUGUUUCAGAUCACAGCUUAGAUUGCAAUUUGCAUCGAGCUAAAGAAAAGUAAUGGCUAAUCAGAAAGAAUUGAGAGGCAAAUCUUGCAUUUUAGGGUUCUCUGUUUCUUUUAUAAAAAUUACCCUCAUUUUCUUACUGUAUAACAUCACAGCAUGACCUAUUGUUUUAUAACUUCAUCCACGUACAUAAAGAGAUCUAGGGAAACCAUUUCUAUAUUUCAAACCUAAAUUGUACAAAUACUGAACUAUAUUUGAAAGAAGAGCAUGUUGACAAUGACCAGAGGCACAAGGCAACUGAAUCUUUGAUGAACACCAAUUUGAACUUGUCCAAACUCAUUUAUUAACCCAAUGGCUAUUGCAUUGUUCUAUGCUUAAUCAAUAACAUUGCUUGAUAUAUAGUUUUUACAUGACAUGUAACAGGGAUUGCCCAAUAGAAUUGCAGGAGGCUGUGGCCAGUUUCAUUUUCAAGGCGUUCUGAUUUGCCAGAGUUAUUACACUUGACUUAAGGGAACUUAUUUUCCGCAAAAUAUGGAAGGAGUUUGUUGCAGCUCCCACUCUUUCAGUGAAAGCUCCACCUGCAGAGCUGAAGAUUAAGGUUUUGAAAGCAAUUGCACUAGAGUACAAUCUCGAGUGGUAUUCAUCAAGUACUGAAGCAGAGGUAAGCAAACAACAUGAAGACUUGCUGCUAAGGAUGUGCUAAAUCCUACAAUUCACAAGAACUGACGGAGAGAUCCUCUUUUACUUCGACCAAGGUAGGAGUUUCAGCUUCAACCGCAAAGAAUCAAAAUGAUCAAUUGCCCGAAUCCCUGAUCCAUCGGGCUAAUAACAUACCCAAGAUCUCUGCUGAGUGGAGCGAAAUUUCUCUUAGCAGAUGCCGUGACAGUGGAUGCUGUUAGUCAAACUGAAGAACUAUGAUUAUUUGAAAAAUCCAAUCUACUCAAAGUUCAUCAGUUGUCCUUGGCCGUGUCAUGGUUAAGAUAUAGGAUAUUAUCAUAUAAGAUCUUAGGAUCCAAUUUCGACUUUAUAUGACAAUAUCCCAUGUCUUCCCUCAAGACCUUAUAUGGGAUGUUGCCAUCAGUUGCUUGACUAGCAGAUGUUAAAUCACGGGUGUCCGAGCAUGUCUUUCCUUAUAUCUUA